UCCCACUAUUACUGUUUGGGAGUCUAAGUCUCUUUGUAGGUCUCUAAGAACUUGCUUAUGAAUCUGGGUGCACCUGUAUUGGGUGCAUAUAGACUUAGAAUAGUUAGCUCUUAAUACCUGGCCUCUUUCCCAAAAGCCCUUGAAGCAGCAUACCAAGAUAAGAUAUACACAGCGAUGCUAAUAACAUAUCAACAGCAAGGGAAGAAAAACAAAGGCUUAACAUACAUUAUUGCAUGUAAAAUUUGACUCUGGAACUUGCUGGAAAUUAAGGCUAAGAGAAGGGGAAGAAGUUAUGCACUGCCCUAUCAGUAGGUCAGAAGCAUAACGGUUGCUUAGGGGAGAGCCUUUCCUGAUGCCUUCUGCUAUAGAUGUUCUCAUUGAGGGUCCUGUGAAGUGCUAAAAUGAACAGAAUUCUUGAUUUUCACACAUUUACAUGUUAUGAUUGUGCCUUGCAUCCUUACCUUGUACCAGCUUUCAAAGGCUUCCAUUUCAGGGUUUGGGGGAUUUGUGUAGGUGUGGUUAAUAAUGGAUUUUGUUUCCAUAAGUAAGAAUUCUUAUUCUAAGCUGCAAAUAAUUAUUAAGCUUGAAAAUAAUUUGAGACAAAUGCCUUGAGACACGCAGAACCUUUGCCGAAUUCUGUAAUUUGUAAGAUAGAAAGUGAAUGUGCUAUCCCUGGAUUAGCAUAUGUAUAUUGCAGUAAAUGUGGUCUUCUUCACAGUGGAAUUUAGUGUGGAGAGAUGUGCAGCUCCAUUUCUGUGAGGAUGUGUGUGGAACCCCAUUAGACUCCUACUUUGUCGGGGCUCCACAGAGACCAGAGGUUUGUCAUAAGGGACCUAACCUCCAUGGCUCCUGAGGUCAGCUGCUCCCCUAAAAGGCAAUUGCUUGGCCUUUAUUUCAGAAGGUUUACUAAGUGACCUAAGGAUGUACUCGGAGCUGUUUGGUUUCCAUGGAAUUCAACUCUGUGUGUGUGUGUGUGUGUGUGUGUGUACACACCUUCCUUGUUACUAUUUUAACAGACUUUUGGCUCACUGUAAGAGUUAGAACUUAUGUGAAGUGUGUGGUAAAAGAACACAUACAUUAUUCCAAGAGCAGCCACUACUCACACCACAUUGAACACUUAACCUUAUCACAGGUUAUAGCUCAAUCUUUGGGACCACAUUCUUUGUCUACGGUCAAGGCUUUAUAGUAUUUUUCUGCCUUAUUAUCUCUAAGGAACUGAAGUAUUUCUCCCUAAAAAUGCUAUGGUAAAAUCUGAUUUUUGGGUUAAACUGGCUUUAGUAAUAUCCUCACUAAAAGUUAACAAAAGAAAUCCAGCUCCACUGAGUUUGUGUAAAAGGGCUGAGUCAGCUAAGAAUGUUGCUCUGAGCAUUACCAGUAAGGUUGGAGGUAUCUAAUCGUCAGUGUGCUGGUGCUUCUGUUGAAUGCUGGCAGAUUGCAGCCUCUUGUUUAAGCGUGAGUUUUUCAAAGAAAAAAACUGGCUGCCACUCUUGCAGUGGCUUUCUUGAGUGGCUAAGCUUUCUAGGUUAUUUAGCAGAUGAAAUAGAAACAUGGAAACACUGUGGUUGGAAGCCACGUGGUGCGCAUGCUCCUGCUUGUUAACUAACAGUGAGUGGUGUUGAUGUGUGGGCAUUCAGUCGUCUUCUGCAUUGGCAGUGCCAAUGUGUAAUCAGUUGUCUCACCACAAUUGGGGGUUUUAGGAAACUCAGAAAUAUCCGCCUUAGCUCUCAGAGUUCUUGAAAUCAGUAUCUUAGUCUUAAGAAUUGUUCCUUGUGUUUCUUGGCAACAAACAGUAUUUUCAGCCCAACCCCACCCACAGUUUACAUUUGCCCUUUUCUCCUGCAUCUCACAGCAUAGCCAUACAAGCAGCACCCGACAGAAAGCACAUUCAGGCGCCAUCUGACAAUGGGAAGCAGGACUCGGGCAUUUCAUUCCCCAUUUGCUCCUGGUGUCCCAUCCUCAGUUCUGCCUUGCUUACCUUCUUUGUGCCAGCACUUUUCUUUGAGGCUGUAUUGCAAAGGACCUUGCCUAAAGACAAACUAUUUUACCCUUGCACUUUGAAUUCCUCCAGUACCUAGGACUAACUAAUGAGGAGAAUGCUUAUUAGCUCAUUUUGUGGGCCAGCGCUGGGUUCUCCUCCAUAGGUAGUUGGGGACAGGGAGCACUAUCUUAUUUUCAUUUGAAGAAACCAAGACUUAGGUCAAGAACUUGUCUUUGUAUGGCAUGACACUUAGUGAUGGAUGGGGAGUUCUAAUUUGCAGUUUGCAUUUAACUUGCUUAAAAGUUGGUGCUCAUUUUUCUGUGUCACAGUGCAUCUCAGAAAGAAACUUCUUAGGGAAUGUGUGUGUUACUGAUGACAGCUGGGCUCUUACUGUUUUAGCAGCAGUGUGAACAGAUGAAGCAGACAUGAAGGGGGAAAUGGCAAUGUGUACUAUGUGACAGGCACUAUGCUAAGCAUGUCAUCCUCACUGAGCAUUUAUGAAGGUUUUCUAUUUUUAAAAUGAGCCACCCGAGCCAUGAAGAAGUUAAGUGACUUGACCACAAUCACAACCCAUGUGGUAGCACCAGGAUUUCAGUCCAGAUCUGACUCAGAACUCAUGCUUUAACCACCAUGUGAUUUGAAGCUAGAUAACAAGGAAAUACAUUUAAAUACGUAAGGAAUGUGUGUGUGUGUGUGUGUGUGUGUGUGUGUGUGUACACACACACACACCACACAUACAGGUAAUAUAUACUACUACUAAAGACAUCAGAUCAGUGCUAACUCCUGCAGUAUAGAUGUCCCAGGUUGAAUAAAAUAGUUUCCUAAAAUCUCUACAUUUGUAACAAUGACAAAGGAUGGGCAGAUGGCUGCAGGAUGUAUGAGGUUCACCUCAUGUAUGCAAGAGGUGCAUAUCUCAGGUAUGAGGUUCACCUCAUACAUGAGGUGAAGCUUAUGUAUACCUCAGCUAUUAGGGCAAGAAGUAUACAUUUUAGUACUUGUACUAAAACUAACAAAUUCUUGAUAUGAAAAAUAAAAGCAUUAUUGGUGAUUUAGGUGUUACAAUUGCUUUUCCUAACAAAAUGCCAGAACAGGUUGAUUCUUUAACUUGAAAUCGUUUCAUGGGAAUUCUGUUAGGUGAUUGGGGAAUUUGUGAUCCCUCUGUCUGAAAAUAUUAACCAAAAAAUAGAAGGGAACUUUUCAAGGUGCAAAAUAGUGUUUAAGAGUUUAGAGCCAGAAUUAUCCCUGGCUUUCUUUUCUACUAGUAUGGUGACCUCAGCAAAUUACUUAAUCUUUCUGCCUCAGUUUCCUUACAUGUAAAGUGAGGAUAAUAAUCGUACCUUUGGCAAAGCAGUGUUGUGAUGACUGAGUAAAUGUAAAGCACUUAGAGUCUGGCACAGCAAGUGCUAGGAAAGUGUUGGCCACCACGGUGUGGUCUUCCUUGUUGCAGUUAUUUCAAAGGCGGUAAGUCUUUUAAAUUGCAAAUGCCCUCAAAUGUCAUAAAUCAUUGUACAAAACUCUUCAGAAGCCACCACUUAAGAAUCCCAUUGAAAUAUCUGGCAGGCAGGCACUUGUGCAUCCAAAGAGAAGAGGGUGUUGAAGGACUCACGCUUGACAAAUGCCUGCUGUAUACAAGGUGCUUUGCCCACAGGAUGUUAUACACCUUAACAAGUCCUCCUGAGGGAAGGAAGCAGGAUGAAGCCCCGUGUCACACCCCUGAGAGUGGUAGUCUGUGCUCGCCCAGUACCUGCACAGUCUCCCAGGUACUGGGGUGCUGGCAAGUGAGGGAAGUGCUUCUAGGAACCUUGCCCUAUUCAGUGUAAAACCAGCAUUUUGGUCCCCUACACUUGACUUGGCACAUUCAAAUCUGAUCUAGUUUGCUCAUGGAUGGCAGCAGCCCUCGUACCCCCACUCUAAGGGCCCCCGUGAGUGUGCACAUGCGUUGAUAGGAAGGAGAGGGUUGUGGAAAGGCAGCCCCAGCCUUCAGCUGCAGUAUCAUGCAGAUGCUGGGGACGUUGAGAGCUGAAAGGCACUCUUAAAUUAUGCAAAUGCAAUACUGCUUUUAAAAGCAUCUGAGGCAAAAGUCUCCCUCCAAAAAAAAAAAAAAACUGUGUGAGCUGGGACUGCCAGUAUGGCUAACAAAGUGGGGACGAAAUUCUGCAAAA